AGUGGAAUUGCUGGGUCAAAUGGUAGUUUUGAUUUUUUGAGGAAUCGCCAUACUGUUUUCCACAACAGCUAUACCAUUUUACCUUCCCACCAGCAAU
rnacentral:pre_miRNA from 1 species